rnacentral:misc_RNA from 1 species
AAUUCUCAACCUUAUCAGCUUUUUCUGAUAGUGGCUUGGAUGUGGGGGUUGCUGGCUUUCUUUCGGUCAGCUCCCCUUAAAUGCAUUAGCUGGUGCCCCAGUCUUAUUGGUGUGAUAAUUAUCUACGCCAUGUUUAGGCACCGCUUCUAACCGUCCGUCUUGGACAAUACAUGACA